AUGAGAUUUGGUCUCUGUUGGGGGUGUUGUUUUGAACUUUUUGUUUGGUGGUUUGUUUUGUUGUCGGAGUUUUUCUGUGCUUGUGUGAUUUUUAAAAAUAUUGUUUAUUUUUUCAUUCUCUCUCUUUUUCCCUCUACUCGCCGUUUUCCGAACGGCGCGGACCUGCCGUGGGGCGGCUGCUGGCAGCCGUGUGUCCCCGCGGAGGGACGGGCCCGGCCGGCGGGGACACAGCGCGGGGACACGGAGCGCCCGGCCCGGCCGGAGCUGCUGGCUCUCACCCUGCUCCUCUCGUCCUCCUUCCGAUCCGCUUUGCCCGGGCCCGCCGUGCCUUUGCCGCCCUCCAUCGCGGGCGCUCCGCGUCCCCUCCGAAGCUCCCAGGAGCAAAUGAGGAUGAUGGGAUCCACUUGGAAAAGACUCCCGGAUGGGGGAGUAGGGUGA
rnacentral:lncRNA from 1 species